CCGGCACCGAGGUAUUCUCGGGGAGAACCAUCACCCUCGACUCGCAAAGCUCCUCGCAGCGUUCCCUGGAAAAAAGGAUGGUUACCGAAAGCCGAAGAUUAUACCGGUCAAAGUAUAACGCUGUAAUUCCAAUCGUCUGGACUGGGAAGUUCCCGGUAAAUCCAAAAAGCAGAACCUGUGAGAACUGAUUUAAAGCCAGGAUCGAAUCCGGUAAGAAUUCAACAAUACCCCCUAAAACCGGAAAGUCGGAAAGGGUUAGUAUUGAUAAGACAAAAAUUUUUAAGACGUAAACUGUUAAUAGAACGUGAAUCCAAAUAUAACACCCCGACCUUGCCUGUUAAAAGGCUAACGAAAAAGAUUAUGGAUUAGUUCCUCAGAGCAAUAAAUCAAAUAGUACAAGGUAUUCAUCCGGUAGUAGCAAAUCCUUAUACUUUGUUAACAACCCUGACAGAGAGACGAGAACGGUUCACAGCGUUAGGCUGAAAAGAUGCCUUUUUCUGUAUUCCCUUGGAUCCCAAUAGUCAAGAGCUUUUUGCUUUUGAAUGGGAAAAGCCUGAGACUGGGAGAAAAACACACUAUACGUGGACAGUCUUGCCUCAAGGCUUUAAGAAUAGUCUUACCAUUUUUGGAAAUCCAUUGGCACAAGAAUGAGAGAUUUGGAAGAAAGAAAAUAAUCAAGAAAUCUUGUUGAAAUAUAGGGAUGAUCUGUUAAUUGUAGCUGAGGUGGAAGAACAAUGCACAAAGUUAACUGUUAACUUUUUGAACUUUUUGGGAAUCGGUGGAUAUCGAGUGUCAAAAGAAAAAAGCCAAAGAACCCAGAAAGAAGACACUUAUUUGAGUGUUAAAAUCCUAGAAGGACAGAGACAAUUAGGAGCUGAGAGAAAAGAGGCAAUCUGUCGUCUCCCCGAACCUAAGACCAAAAAAAAAUUAAUGACGAGCAUUUCCGGGAAUGGUUGAGUGGUGUCACCUGUAGAUUAUCAAUUGCGGCUUGCUGGUCCGACCUUUAUACGAGCAGCUCAAAACCUCAAGCAAUGGAUUGGACUGAUGCCGAGAAAGCCACUUUCAAAGAAUCGAAACAGGCUGUAACGGGGGUGCCAGCCCUAGGCCUGCCAGAUCUCACAAAGACAUUUGAACUUUUUACUCGUGAAAGAAGAGGUAUAGCUCUGGGUAUCCCGGCCCAAUAUUUAGGGCCAAGUGGGCGAGCUGUGGCCUACUUCUCGAAGCGAUGAGAUCACGUGAGUCUGGGAUGCUCUGGUCGUCGGAGAGCCGUCGCUGCAACUGUGCUACUGAUCCAGGAAGCUCGUAAGUUCACCUGAGGACAAAGGAUUACUGUGUGUUUCCCAUAUGAUAACUGUUGUGCUAAAACAGAAAGGGGGGGCCUUGGUUAUCCCCUCGCAGAAUGCUGAAAUACCAAGUGGUGUUGCCGGAACAAGAUGAUGUUUACUUAAAAACUCGUACCACCGUUAACCCUGUUGCGUUUUCAACAACCGAUCGAGUUAAAGGAGAACUGGAACGCGACUGCUUGCAGACAAUCGAAAGAGUUUACUCCUGCCGACCGGAUCUCUGAGAUGUGCCACUAGAAGUAACAGAUUGGGAACUAUAUACCGACGGAAGCUGUUUCAUCUGUGAAGGAAAACGUUUAUCGAGAUAGACAAUAACUACCGAGGAGGUAAUUGCGUUGCGAACUUUGCCCUCGAUGAUAUCUGCCCAAAAGGCUGAACUGAUAGCUCUCACUCGAGCUCUGGAACUAAGUCAAGGAAAGCGAGUCAACAUUUGGACAGACUCAAAGUAUGCUUUCGGAGUAGUACGUGCACAUGGAGCGAUAACGGAGAGAAAGAGGACUCUUAUCUGCACAAGGAGCCGCCAUUCAGCAUGCAGAACAGAUACUGAAAUUGUUAGAAACCGUUCAAAAACCAACAGCAGCCACGAUAAUGCACUGUAAAGCACAUCAGUUGGGUAAGACUGUUCCUAACGCAGGUAACCGACUGGCCGAUAAAGCUGCUAAAGAGGCUGCAGAAAAAGGCAUCCUAGCACUAGUUCCAGAGAAAAGUAUAAAAUUGCCUAAAGAAACUCGAAAUUAGAACGAAAAAGACGAAGAAUUAAUUGUUAGAUUGCAGGCUAACAAAAUGAAACAGGACAGGCUGUAACACCGACAGGUCAAAUAAUAGUCCCGCCCACAAUAAUAAGAGAAAUUGCCCGAGCUGAACAUAACAAAGUAUAUUGGGGAACAGAAGGUAAAACAUGACAAAGAUUGUUUAAACGAUUAUAAGCGGAUGUGAAAUUUACGUAUAAAACGAUCCCCAAAUCAGUAAUAAGAUUAUCUUUGGAAUUAUUAAAUAAGGAAAUUUUUUAGGGGAAUAUUAGCAAAUUGAUUUUAUAGAACUGCCUUGAAAAGAAGGAUAUAUCCUAGUUUUAGUUGAUAUCUUCACUGGGUGGCCCGAGGCUUUCCCUUGUCGCACCAACAAAGCGAGAGAAGUAGUCAAAGUCUUGCUCAAAGAGGUAAUACCAAAAUAUGGGGUGCCCGUAAGAAUGUCAUCUGACAAUGGCCCUCAUUUUAUAGCAAAGAUUAUGAGACAAGUUGAGCAAAGUAUUAUCUAGAGAUUGAGACUAUCACACCCCAUAUGGACCACAAGCAAGU